GAGACAGCAGCCGCCACGGUAAUACGGAGGGUGCAAGCGUUAUCCGGAUUCACUGGGUUUAAAGGGUGCGUAGGCGGAUCUGUAAGUCAGUGGUGAAAUCUCCAGGCUUAACCUGGAAACUGCCGUUGAUACUAUAGGUCUUGAAUUUUGUGGAGGUUAGCGGAAUAUGUCAUGUAGCGGUGAAAUGCAUAGAUAUGACAUAGAACACCAAUUGCGAAGGCAGCUGGCUACACAACUAUUGACGCUGAGGCACGAAAGCGUGGGGAUCAAACAGGAUUAGAUACCCCAGUAGUCCCUGUCUCUUAUAC
rnacentral:rRNA from 1 species